rnacentral:tRNA from 4 species
GUGGCGGUAGCUCAAUUGGUAGAGUCCCAGAUUGUGAUUCUGGCUGUUGUGGGUUCGAGUCCCAUCCGUCACCCCA